CACACUCCUAUACAUGAUUAGAUUUCCAACAAUUGUUUUGUUUCCCACUACUUUUUUCUUUUUUAGUUUGUUGCAGUCAAUAGUACCCAGACUGUCACAUAGUGUAGCAUAACUGCCUAUUACAAUUGCUGCUAAUUGUAUUGCCUGCUGUUAUUUUUAUAUAUCAAUGGAGCUAUAACUAUUUCUUAGAGAUAAUGAAAAUUUAUGGAGGAUAG